AGACACUGCAUGGAGAUAAAGUGUCAAUCCCGACAUCCGUCACCAGUAAGGGCUGCACGGCAUUGUCUCUGUCUAUGACCACGGGAUCUUCCAUGGACCUCAAUGCUGUACUCUCGCACAUGCUCUAGAGUACAUCAAGGUUGUUGGCUCACGCUGAAGAGGACCGGCUGGAGGAAGAUGGCCGCCACCACGAGUCACAGGUCCAGGUAAUAAAUCUCACCUUUACCUGCCCCCCUGGCCACCAGACCACCAGCGGAUGAUGUCACCCAACAGUGGUCUUUGCGAAUUCUGCAAACUCCCCAGACUGUGACAGUGCCUCUUUACAAUUAAGAUACUCGCUCGCUCUUCAUGUCUUGUAUAGUAAAGCUCUAAUAUAUAAGUAUAACACUAUCCCUGUGUAACUAAGGUAAUAUUGAAAUAUGGGCAGCAACAAGAAAAUGUUACUGUGUACAUUAGUGAGGUUAAUGUUAAAAUAUAGCAGUGAUGAUCGCGCGUGGCACGAAUGCUCAGCCUUAUGGAGUAUUUUGGCUGUGUGAUAAAGCAACCAUCUGCCAAAGGUUGUUGUAGAUAUCAAGGGGGAUUACUUGUAAAGAUAAAGUGCUUGUCUAAGUCAUAACAACCCAAUUAGCCUGCAAAAAUCCAUGGGUCAUUGGCCCACUUCAAUGCUGACAGAAAGCGACUACACCAACCACAACGUAUUGCAUGCAUUUUCUCAAUGCAGGUGUUUGCCUUUCAUGCCUGUUAAAUGAACUACAAAUACUAUUGUUUUUUUUUUGUUUUGUUUUUUAAGAGCUGGAGCUCUGAUACCCUGUUGCUAUAUUCUGCAUUAUGGUGUCGUGAAGGUUUUUGCUAAUUACUAUAAACAAGUACAGCUGAUAACAUAAUGAAAUUAUUUUUUUAAAGGUAUACUCAUCACCAAACAACUUUAGCAUUAUAAAGUGGUUUUGGUGUACAGAUCAUGUCCCUGAAGUCUCACUGCUCAAUUUUCUGCCAUUUAGGAAUUAAACCACGUUGUUCAUGUAGCCCUAGCCUCAACUCCACUGGCUAUGACACACACAUCCUCCAUGAAAAAAAAAUACAGUCACAUCUUACAACACAGUGUGUUUAAUUUAUAUGUUUUUAUCUCAUGCUCUGUAAAUUGAACUUUAAUAUUUUAUAGUGGGUACGUGCAUAACAGGGUGUGGACCCCUAGAAGCAUUUCAGUUAUCGGCUCAGCACAAGGAAGUUUGGAGAUGAGCCACAAAUUUAAAAAUUACAAUCUGUUGUGUCUGCCAAAAUAUAAGGAAAACAUUUCAAAAUUAUGUAACAAAUAUAGGAGUUCAUAUCUCAAACUCUGAAUUCACCCAAAUUGUCAAGAGUACACUACCCAACUUACAAGUAUAGGUCAGGAAUAUGAAGACAUAAAGGAUGUGGACCUUAGAAAGAUCCAGUGUUAACUUUAAUUUAGUUUUAGUCAUAGUCUUUUGACUAAAAAGCCAUUUUAGUUUUAGUCGUAUUUUAGUCAUCUGAAUUGUUUUAGUUUUAGUCGACUAAAUCUUCAGUCAACACAACUAAAAUCUAAUGGGUUUAGUUAAAGCCUCUACCUGUCCCUUUUACCCUUUCCACAGCCCCUCUGUGCAUGGUUAAUUUUGGCAGCAAAUUUCAAUUUAGUUUUAGUCAUAGUCUUUUGACUAAAAUGCCAUGUUAGUUUUAGUCGUAUUUUAGUCAUCUGAAUUGUUUUAGUCUAGUUUUAGACCACUAAAUCUGACUAAAAUUGUUAGUCAACAAAAUUAACACACAUAAAUACAAACACACACACAUAAACAGACACACAUACACAAACACACACAUAUACAAAAUGUUUUCGUGACCUUCCUUUUUCAUAAUUUUUAGAAGCAGGAGGGUGACUUCCCUGGGGUCCAGUGGUGGCUCAGCCUGGUGGGAGUCAGAAUUCCCACUCUGACUCCGUCUUCCUUCCACCCACGCGGCUCCCGGUGGUUGCUGGGAGGAAGGGACCGGGAUAGUCACUUCCUCCCAGCUGUGAUGUCAUCACAGGGAACCCGGUCGUGCUGUUAAAUACAUUUCCAUCGGGUGGCCCUAACAGCAUGGACCACCCGAUGGGCCCCUUAACGUGCGGCCCCCGUGGUUCUACCGCGCUGGCCAGAAGUGACAGGCCCGUAGCUGCGACCCCUGUGAAUGCGGUAGUUCUGCCACUGACAACAGGGCAAUGUCAAUGAGGCUAAACCUAUAUUUAAAUACUGAGAUGGACACUGAUUGGUUCACAUCAUCCCGGUGACCCCAUAAAGUUAAGGGAAUGGGAUGCCGUAAUGACGUGGCACUGCCAGAACAGGAAAUGGCACUUGGCGUUAUAUUAGUAUGAGUAGAGGGGAAACGCAAGUGUCUCUCUAUUAGGCAGCCAAGAGCUUUUGCCUCCCGAUAGUAACAUUCGGGAAGUCCGAAUACAUGUAUUUAUCGGAAAGGCAAAUAUGAACCAGGAAGCGGUACUUCCCAAACACCACGCAUGGCAUGCUCAGGAAAGGCGGAGCAGCAUGUCAAUUGGGUAAGUAUUUUGCGACAGAUGUUUAGAGAUAUUAUGGGGGAUUUUUGCUCCCCUGUUUUUCAUAAGUGAAAUUACAAUAAAAUGGAUGUCAUUCCAUAGCAAAUCCUGAACUAGUUGACCUUAUUGUGGGACAGUUUGGUGGGUAUUCAUGCCUUUUUUUUUUUGGAUUUAGUCAGAUGGGGUUCCUAAUCAUUUGAAGAUAAGGGGGAAGGUUCGGUAGCAUCAAUCAUCAGUAUUACUUCUGAAUUGGUGCAGAUUACCCUAUGUGAAUAAAUAGCUUUGUGGAUCACACACCUUUCGUGAGGACUCAACACAGCUGUCUACAUUACAUAAAGAAGAAGCUCUAAAGUAUUUUUUAAAUUAAAAUUAUCAUAUAUACAAGGUGACACAAAAGUAGGUAUGUAGUAGAGUAAAGAAAAUCAUUUUAUCAGUACUCAACUAUUCUUUGAAACUUUCACACUGAUAUUUAAAUGCCCGAAAUUUAACUGUCACAUUGUUGUGUGUCAGUGUGUACGUGUACUAAUUUAAUCUAUUGUAAUGAAUUUCAUUGAUUCAGUUGUAUCAACUGAAUACCUACUUUUUGGUCACCCUGUAUAUAUAUAUAUAUAUAUAUAUAUAUUUAUUUGGACCACCCAAUGGGCCCCUUAACGUGCAGCCCCGGCGGAUCUACCGUGCUGGCCGGGGCGGCAACAAAUGGCUGCAAGCAAUGCGGUCGCAGGGGUCCGCAGAGCAGCCUGUCCCCCAGAGUGACAGGCCCGGUUGCAGUUGCGACCGCAGUAGUUCCGCCACUGACAACAGGGCAAUGUCAAUGAGGCUAAACCCUUAUUUUAACACUGAGAUGGACACUGAUUGGUUCACAUCACCCCGGUGACCCCAUAAAGUGAGGGCAAUGGGUUGCCGCAAUGACGUGGCACUGCCAGAACAGGAAAUAGCACUAGUCGUUAUAUCAGUAUUAGUAGAGUUGUAUCAACUGAAUACCUACUUUUUGGUCACCCUGUAUAUAUAUAUAUAUAUAUAUAUUUAUUUAUAUAUCAACAUUCAUUUAUCAUAUACUAAUGAGAAAACAAUUUUGCAGUAAACAGUAAAUGCUAUAUAUUACAAUGAGAAGUAUUACUAAACUAAGUAUGGUUUAAUAAGUUUAUUUUAAUAUACUACAAACGUGGUAGACUUAAUAGUCCAAUCCACUGAAAACAUACAAACAUCAUUGGCCGUCAAAAAAAAACAACUUUUCAAUUAUUAAAUAUAUUUAUCACCAGAUAGAUUUGGUGACUCGAGACUCUGAAAACAAGAUCUUCCAGGUGGUAGUGAGGGACAGGUCCCUGCAAAUUUUUCAUCAUGCUAUAAUGAACAACUGCAUUAUAAUGUAGGUAGUGCAUUUGAAAUUGUUAUCAGGUGAAAAAUGGAAGAAUAUGAUUACUAUGCUGCAUCAAAGUCUUGAUCAGACUUCCAAGACCAAGUUAUGCGGACAACAAGCAGUUGAUUAAUUUCUUUAAGCAAUAGAAAUGUGUUGCAAACAAGUAUGAAGUAGAGAGCUGGUGUUUAAAAAAAAAAAAAAAGCCCCAUCCAGUUAUGACUUAACAAUGGAUCCCCUCUAAGCCGACUAAAUUCUCUGAUAUUCAGAUACAAGGUAGCCUUUCUCUCACUGCUAUUCUAUCCUCCGCUGUGGUGUACAGAGUUAAUACUAAAAGAAUAUGAUUUAUUAGGUCAGGAUAGGACAAACACCAUUCCGCUGUAGGUAUUUAUCAAUCAGGGUUUGGAUCAAAUAAGAAUCAUUGCGAUUAAUUCCAGACAUGAACUAAUUUUACAUUUUGUUGUGAAGCACUUGUACUAUGGAAUUCACAGGGUAUUAAAUGGUCGAUUUGGCAAACCCAUCAACCAACCACGACUCCACCCAAGAGGACUUCGUCGCCCAGCCUUGCAUAAUCCCGUCAACUAACACUUUGAUUUCUCAGUUUACUUAAUUGUACGCACUAAUAGAUUGGGGACACAGAAAAGGCCACCAACAGUUCCGCGGAAUGAGUAAGACUGACAGACAGUCGGAACCAAAAGAUUUAUCUGGAAACUAUUCACGUUGAUAAAACGGAAACAUUUAGAAAGAGACACGCUGUCUCAAAUGCAUGUCUUCCGUUAAAGCUGAAUGUGUCCAAGACUGCAAGGCAUGAAAUUUAAACCUUUCCACCUUUCAAAAUAGUUGUGUGUAACUGCAUAGGGCAAAGGGCCAAGUAUGGUUUAAAUUGACUACAGUUACAAAUUUGUUCAAUUAUGUGAUGGGUUAAUAGGGGAAUCUCAUAAUUCUUGCUGAUCAGCAUUUCUCAAAAGUACAGACCUGUACCCUUCUUGGCCAGUAUAUAGCAAUGUCAUUUCUGACUUGGCUAGGAAGGAGUUAAACCCGCUUUUCUGUUUCAGAAAGAGUUAAUUAUCGCUACUCAGCUGCCUUCGGCCUGGUGUGUAUUUUUAGUGUGUCUGGUUGCACCUGCUUGUCUAUGUAACCCUCCCCCUAACAUGCAUCCUAACAUAUGUUUCAUUAAAGACUUAGGAAAAGAGAGCUUAAAAUAGCCCAAGCGGAAUGGAGAGUUUGAGGAAUAUUAAUUAAUGCAUGCUUUAUUGAUGGAUGGUUAGUGAAAAGUGUAUUUAAAGUUAUUUGUUUGUGCAUUCAGUUAAAAAACAAUAGGGGAAAAUGUAGCAUAAUGUCAGUUUAUUUUUUUUUUCCUGUUAGAAAUCUGAAUUAUAACAUUUAAAAAAACAAAUAUAAAUAUAUAUAAAUAAAUAGAUUCAGUGGGAUUAUAGCUAGGUCUGAUAGAACCCCCUUGUUUUCCUUGGUGCAUGUCAAUGUACAAUGUUAACCUGUGUAGCAUUCAUAUUCUUCAGAAGAGAAAAGACUACUUUGAGACACCCCUUCGAUUGAUUGAUUGAUUGAUUAAUUAAUUUUCCUCCUGCAGGGGAGCACUUUUCAUGGACUGCAUAGCUCACAAUGAAGUGGUAUGUAUCCUGGCCCUAAAUCAAUCUUGAAAAUAUUUUGUAUUAUGUAAAAUAAAAUGUUUGUACAGAAUACCAAGAAUUUCAAUAAUCAUACUAUUUAUUUAUUAAAAAUGUAAAUGAAAGCGCCGUCAUAGGAUUGGCCAGUACAAUUUGUGGAUAUUUUUUUCUAACAGUAAGAAAACACCCAAACAACAUACUAUUAAUAAUAUUAUGCUUUAGUCGAGUCUCAUAUCAUAUUUUUCUAAUUUCAGUAUAAUAAAAGAGACAUG
rnacentral:lncRNA from 1 species